AUUCACAUUACAAAUACCCUAAAAGCACAAGAUCCUGUCUGAUCUUGGAAGCUAAGCAGGGUCAACCUAGGUUAGUACUUUAAUAGGAUACCAUCACAGCUACCAGAUGCUGUAUUUC
rnacentral:rRNA from 11 species